rnacentral:tRNA from 1 species
GGGCGCUUGGCGCAGCGGUUAGCGCGUCUCGUUUACACCGAGUAGGUCGGGGGUUCGAAUCCCUCAGCGCCCACCA